rnacentral:lncRNA from 1 species
AUGAAUUAUUGGAAAUCCUUCACAGAUUUGUCUCUUCUCCCCUGUUUGUCUAUUUAUAUCAAUAUGGACUUGUGGAUAUUUAUUUUAUACUUUAGGUCGAAUCCGUACCACUUUAUUUAUUUUGUUACUCAAAUUGUUACAGCUUUGGCCAUUGGGGGCACUUUGCUUUGGCUCCUGUGUCCCUUUUACAUACUCCUGUUAUUGUGGGAUUUAGGUGGGGUUUCCUUCCUUCCUUCCUUCCUUCCUUCCUUCCUUCCUUCCUUCCUUCCUUCCUCCUUCCUUCCUUCCUUCCUUCCUCCUUCCUCCCUCCCUCCUCCCUCCUCCCUCCCUCCCUCCCCCCUUCCUCCUUCCUUCCUUCCUUCCUUCCUUCCUUCCUUCCUUCCUUCCUUCCUUCCUUCCUUCCUUCCUCCUUCCUUCCUUCCUUCCUUCCUUCCUUCCUUCCUUCCUUCCUUCCUUCCUUCUUCCUUCCUUCCUUCCUUCCUUCCUCCUUCCUUCCUUCCUUCCUUCCUUCUUCCUUCCUCCCCCCCUUCCUCCCUCCUCCCUCCUCCUCCCUCCCUCCCCCUUCUCCCUUCCUCCCCCCCUUCCUCCCCCCCUUCCUCCUUCCUCCUUCCUGCCUGCCUGCCUGCCUGCCUGCCUGCCUGCCUUCCUCCCUCCCUCCCUCCCUCCCUCCCUCCCUUCCUCCCUUCCUCCCUCCCUCCCUUCCUCCUUCCUCCCUUCCUCCCUCCCCCCUUCCUCCCUCCCUCCCUCCCUCCCUCCCUUCCUCCUUCCUCCUUCCUCCUUCCUCCUUCCUCCUUCCUUCCUUCCUCCUUCCUUCCUUCCUUCCUUCUUCCUUCCUUCCUUCCUGGCACUACAAGCUAUUCCAGACUUACCUCAUGUAUUUCCUGCCCCAGACCUAGAAGCAGCCAUUUCUCUGAGGAGUCUUGGUUUGUUUUAUUGGGGAACGGUAGUACAAACCGAGAUCUGGGGGUUAGGUGUGCUCUUCGCUACUGGGGUGUGGUUGUUUGUAGGCCAAGGAAAAGUGCACAUGUACUGACCAGUGUAUAA